GGGCCCGCACAAGCAGCGGAGCGUGUGGUUUAAUUCGAUGCGACGCGAAGAACCUUACCUGGGCUUGACAUGUACCUAGUAGUGAACCGAAAGGGGAACGAGCCUUCGGGCAGGGUACACAGGUGCUGCAUGGCUGUCGUCAGCUCGUGUCGUGAGAUGUUGGGUUAAGUCCCGCAACGAGCGCAACCCACGUCGCUAGUUACAAGUGUCUAGCGAGACCGCCGGUAUCAAAUCGGAGGAAGGUGUGGAUGACGUCAAGUCAGCAUGGCCUUUAUGUCCAGGGCUACACACACGCUACAAUGGCCGGUACAAAGGGCAGCGAAAGGGCGACCUGGAGCGAAUCUCAUCAAAGCCGGUCGUAGUUCGGAUUGUAGGCUGCAACUCGCCUGCAUGAAGUCGGAGUUGCUAGUAAACGCAGGUCAGCUACACUGCGUUGAAUACGUUCCCGGGCCUU
rnacentral:rRNA from 1 species